ACCAGUGUGGUGAAGUGGUUUGAGCAUUGGACUAUGAAUCUGGAGACCAGAGUUCAAAUCCCUGCUUGGCUA
rnacentral:tRNA from 1 species